GUUUGAUCCUGGCUCAGAUUGAACGCUGGCGGCAUGCCUUACACAUGCAAGUCGAACGGCAGCACGGGAGCAAUCCUGGUGGCGAGUGGCGAACGGGUGAGUAAUGUAUCGGAACGUACCUUUCAGUGGGGGAUAACGUAGCGAAAGUUACGCUAAUACCGCAUAUUCUGUGAGCAGGAAAGCAGGGGAUCGCAAGACCUUGCGCUGAUUGAGCGGCCGAUAUCAGAUUAGCUAGUUGGUGAGGUAAAGGCUCACCAAGGCGACGAUCUGUAGCGGGUCUGAGAGGAUGAUCCGCCACACUGGAACUGAGACACGGUCCAGACUCCUACGGGAGGCAGCAGUGGGGAAUUUUGGACAAUGGGGGCAACCCUGAUCCAGCCAUGCCGCGUGAGUGAAGAAGGCCUUCGGGUUGUAAAGCUCUUUCAGCCGGGAAGAAAUCACAUGGGUUAAUACCCUGUGUGGAUGACGGUACCGGAAUAAGAAGCACCGGCUAACUACGUGCCAGCAGCCGCGGUAAUACGUAGGGUGCGAGCGUUAAUCGGAAUUACUGGGCGUAAAGCGUGCGCAGGCGGUUUGUUAAGAUAGGCAUGAAAUCCCCGGGCUCAACCUGGGAACUGCGUUUAUGACUGGCAGGCUAGAGUAUGGCAGAGGGGGGUGGAAUUCCACGUGUAGCAGUGAAAUGCGUAGAGAUGUGGAGGAACACCGAUGGCGAAGGCAGCCCCCUGGGCCAAUACUGACGCUCAUGCACGAAAGCGUGGGUAGCAAACAGGAUUAGAUACCCUGGUAGUCCACGCCCUAAACGAUGUCAACUAGGUGUUGGGUGGGUAAAACCAUUUAGUACCGGAGCUAACGCGUGAAGUUGACCGCCUGGGGAGUACGGCCGCAAGGUUAAAACUCAAAGGAAUUGACGGGGACCCGCACAAGUGGUGGAUGAUGUGGAUUAAUUCGAUGCAACGCGAGAAACCUUACCUACCCUUGACAUGUCCAGAAGCUCUUAGAGAUUUGAGUGUGCCCGAAAGGGAACUGGAACACAGGUGCUGCAUGGCUGUCUUCAGCUCGUGUCGUGAGAUGUUGGGUUAAGUCCCGCAACGAGCGCAACCCUUGUCGUUAAUUGCCAUCAUUUAGUUGGGCACUUUAACGAGACUGCCGGUGACAAACCGGAGGAAGGUGGGGAUGACGUCAAGUCCUCAUGGCCCUUAUGGGUAGGGCUUCACACGUCAUACAAUGGUCGGUACAAAGGGUUGCCAACCCGCGAGGGGGAGCUAAUCCCAGAAAGCCGAUCGUAGUCCGGAUCGUAGGCUGCAACUCGCCUGCGUGAAGUCGGAAUCGCUAGUAAUCGUGGAUCAGCAUGUCACGGUGAAUACGUUCCCGGGUCUUGUACACACCGCCCGUCACACCAUGGGAGCGGGUUCCGCCAGAAGUAGGUAGCCUAACCGCAAGGAGGGCGCUUACCACGGCGGGGUUCGUGACUGGGGUGAAGUCGUAACAAGGUA
rnacentral:rRNA from 1 species